CCUACGGGAGGCAGCAGUAGGGAAUAUUGCUCAAUGGGGGAAACCCUGAAGCAGCAACGCCGCGUGGAGGAUGAAGGUCUUAGGAUUGUAAACUCCUUUUGUUAGGGAAGAUUAUGACGGUAUCUAACGAAUAAGCAACGGCUAAUUCCGUGCCAGCAGCCGCGGUAAUACGGAGGGUGCAAGCGUUACUCGGAAUGACUGGGCGUAAAGAGUGCGUAGGUGGGGGAAUAAGUCAGAUGUGAAAUCCUGUGGCUUAACUACAGAACUGCAUUUGAAACUGGUACUCUGGAGUGUGGGAGAGGUAGGUGGAGUUCUAGGUGUAGCGGUGAAAUGCGUAGAGAUCAAGAGGAAUACUCAUUGCGAAGGCGACCUGCUGGAACAUUACUGACGCUGAUGCACGAAAGCGUGGGGAGCAAACAGGAUUAGAUACCCCAGUAGUC
rnacentral:rRNA from 1 species